rnacentral:rRNA from 1 species
UACAGAGGUCCCGAGCGUUGUUCGGAUUUAUUGGGCGUAAAGGGUGCGUAGGUGGCAAAGUAAGUUGGAUGUGAAAUCCUGGGGCUUAACCUCAGAAUUGCAUUCAAUACUGCUUAGCUAGAGAGCUGUAGAGGAGACUGGAAUUUACGGUGUAGCAGUGAAAUGCGUAGAUAUCAGGAAGAACACCGGUGGCGAAGGCGGGUCUCUGGGCCGGAACUGACGCUGAGGAGCGAAAGCGUGGGGAGCGAACAGG